rnacentral:rRNA from 1 species
GACGAACGCUGGCGGCGUGCCUAAUACAUGCAAGUCGAGCGCAGGAAAUCAUCCGAACCCUUCGGGGGGACGUUGGUGGAAUGAGCGGCGGACGGGUGAGUAACACGUAAAGAACCUGCCCUCAGGUCUGGGAUAACCACGAGAAAUCGGGGCUAAUACCGGAUGGGUCAUCGGACCGCAUGGUCCGAGGAUGAAAGGCGCUUCGGCGUCGCCUGGGGAUGGCUUUGCGGUGCAUUAGCUAGUUGGUGGGGUAAUGGCCCACCAAGGCGACGAUGCAUAGCCGACCCGAGAGGGUGAUCGGCCACACUGGGACUGAGACACGGCCCAGACUCCUACGGGAGGCAGCAGUAGGGAAUCUUCCACAAUGGACGAAAGUCUGAUGGAGCAACGCCGCGUGAACGAUGAAGGCCUUCGGGUCGUAAAGUUCUGUUGUAAGGGAAGAACAAGUGCCGCAGGCAAUGGCGGCACCUUGACGGUACCUUGCGAGAAAGCCACGGCUAACUACGUGCCAGCCGCCGCAGUAA